rnacentral:sRNA from 1 species
AAAAAGUGGGUUUAGGCGAAUGGCUAACAGGCGAGACAAAAUUCGCGAAAGAAAUAUAGCGACUUGUACUCUGAGUUUGCUUCUUGAAAAGAGAGGCAGAUUACAGUUAGAAAAGUCCCUCCGCCGCCUCGAAUUUGAUUCCUACUCUGCCUGGGGAAAGCACGUCAGGCGUAUUCAGCGACUGGAGAAAGAGUUCACGGAGUCUAUCUCCAGUAAUGUCGUAUCAAGCAUCGCCAGGUACUAUGAAUCGGAAAAUGAUUCACCAGUGGGGACGGACGGCGAGAAAUCGGCUACAGAACCAUCAUCCAAGCCAAGCCACAAACCGUCGGACAAUGCUUCGCAGAAGAGAGCCAGCAUCUGUGCCGGCAAACAAUGUUUGCAGUUUCCAUGUCGGCGGGAACGUACGUAUCACUUUAUGUUUGAAACGUCGCAUUCCAUGAAAGAAACGCGCGAGUUUCUUUGGCGACAGCAGACGACAAUGAGCGCAAGAAAAAGGGAAAGUGUUGAAAUUCAAGAAGAGGAUGCUGAAUCCCGAUCUUCGUCUCCGGUUUCAUACAAGGGUAGUAUGGAACUGGACACCGAUACAAUUAUUCAAAAUAAUACGGAUGGGAUGGAUUUUUUAAACAACAAAUCUAACAAUGUUUUACCCGAUCUCAAAACAAAUAUUUGUGGUUUGACUAAAAAGGAAAUCUUUUUAAAAUCGACAGUACAGAGUAAGAAAAAUGCAGUGCCAAGGAAAAUUGACUUUAGUGUAAGAUACGGAAAGCCCUUGCCAUGGCGAAUGUUGUUACGGCCUGUUCGACCUACUAACAGCGAACCUUUGCAGACAUCGGGUAAAAAGAUUUUAGCGUUUUAGAAUUCAUGAACCAAAUUCGUCAAUAUUUGACAAGAGAUUUGAUUAAUAAACCACGGCUUUGUUAUCUUUUUUUCAGUAUAUUCUUGUAAUAAAAUUAUCUUUUUUUUACAAUCUAAAUACGUAUCUACUGUGUGCAACUUCAGUGACAGUCAAUGUUCGAUUUAUGGGUAAUAUUUACACAAAGUAAAAGCAUUGUUAAAUGACGCCAGGUAUUGUUCUUGAUUUAUUGAGUUUGUGGUACAAUGGCAAAAAAGCAAACAACAAAUAAAAAGUUUGUUAUAGUU